GUUUUUACCUUAAAGUUUUUAUGGAUUAAAUUUUUAUGUAUUAUUUAAGGACCUCAAUCUUUAAUUUCGUAUUGGAUCACAGAAAUUUCGGAACCGGCACUGUGCGACCCAUCUGAUCUUUUGGAUUAGACACGACAAAUCCCAUCUAAUCCAUUCUUCACCUCCAGCUUCUCAUCCAUAUUUUUACACUGUUACCCAAUUACUUUAUGAUCUCACUAAAUAUAUAACGUUUUGGAUAUAUAACAUAAGCUUUUCUUCAAGUCACACUUCAUCUCUGCCGAGACCUCCAUUCCCAUCAAGAUUAACAUCUGAAAAUGGAGAUCACGAACGUUACUGAGUAUGAAGCGAUCGCGAAGGAGAAGCUGCCUAAGAUGGUAUACGACUACUUUGCUUCUGGUGCGGAGGACGAAUGGACUCUUCAAGAGAACAGAAACUCUUUUGCAAGGAUCCUCUUUCGGCCUCGGAUUCUGAUUGAUGUGAGCAAGAUUGAUAUGACAACAACCAUCUUGGGUUUCAAGAUCUCCAUGCCUAUCAUGGUUGCUCCUACCGCCAUGCAAAAGAUGGCUCACCCAGAAGGGGAAUAUGCUACGGCUAGAGCUGCAUCUGCUGCUGGUACCAUCAUGAUACUAUCUUCAUGGACUACUUCGAGCGUUGAAGAAGUUGCUUCCACAGGACCAGGGAUCCAGUUUUUCCAGAUCCGGUUUUUCCAGUUACAAGUAUACAAGAACAGGAAAGUGGUUGAGCAGCUGGUGAGAAGAGCUGAGAGGGCAGGGUUCAAAGCCAUUGUGCUCACUGGAGACGCCCCAAGGUUAGGUCGCAGAGAGUCUGAUAUUAAGAACAGAUUCACUUUGCCUCCAAACCUUGCAUUGAAAAACUUCGAAGGUCUUGACCAUGGAAAGAUAGACGAGGCCAAUGACUCUGGCUUAGCUUCUUAUGCUGGUGGUCAAAUUGACCGUACCUUGAGCUGGAAGGAUGUUCAGUGGCUCCAGACAAUCACCAACAUGCCGAUUCUUGUUAAGGGUGUUCUCACAGGAGAAGACGCAAGGAUAGCGAUUCAGGCUGGAGCAGCAGGGAUCAUUGUAUCAAACCCUGUUCGUUUGGUUACCGGUCAGCGGCAGCGUUUGCAUCGGCGGCGGCAGCAGCGCCAAUGAAGACAGUUGUUGUACGUUUUGCAAACACUAACGCUGACGUUGCCGCUGACGCUGCCAAAGAUUAUUGUUCGUUUAGAAGACGCAGGAAGUUGAGGUCGACGCCGACGCUGCCACAUGAAGCAAAUUUUUGUAAAUAAUUAAUUAGGUUAAGGGUAAAAUAGUAAAUUACAUUAUUGGCCGCAGGUUUUAUGCCGCAAACGCAGUUUUUAUCGGCGUCAACCGUUCGGACGCGGCGUCUUCCUGCGUCAACGAAACGAACAAGAGUUGACGCAGAAUGUUGACGCUGCCGCCGAUACCUGUGGCAACCAAACGAACAGCCCUCAUGUCCCAGCAACAAUCUCAGCCCUUGAAGAGGUUGUCAAGGCGACACAAGGACGUAUCCCUGUGUUCUUGGAUGGUGGUGUUCGCCGUGGCACUGAUGUUUUCAAGGCACUUGCUCUUGGAGCCUCCGGGAUAUUUAUUGGAAGACCAGUGGUAUUCUCACUUGCAGCUGAAGGAGAAGCUGGAGUCAGAAAAGUGCUUCAGAUGCUACGUGAUGAGUUCGAGCUGACAAUGGCACUGAGUGGCUGCAGGUCUCUCAAGGAAAUCACCCGUAACCACAUCACCACCGAGUGGGACACUCCACGCCCUCCACACCCUUCGGCCAGGUUAUAGAGAGACCAAAACAACCAGAGAACAUGUAAUGUGAUGGCUACACUUUGCUACUUUGCUACCCUAUCUAAAGACUUGUUUCUCCCUAUGUCGAAUCGCAAACUAUGCCUAGUGAUUCUUGUAAUAUUAUUUGGCUACUUCUACCUA